rnacentral:lncRNA from 1 species
ACCAAAUCAUCGGGCAGCACAAGAAGGUGACUUAAUUGAAGUGCUGCCACAAUGCAUCGAAACAGUCCAAAUUAACGCUUCAAAGGAACUAAAGUCUCAAACAAAGGAAAAGAGCAGGAACGACAAUGUUAGACGACCUCCGAUGAGAAAUGCCAAGCUUAAGCAGGCCGCCCCAACUACUUCAACAAAAGCAGGAACGACAAUGUUAGACGACCUCCGAUGAGAAAUGUCAAGCUUAAGCAGGCCGCCCCAACUAUUUCAACAAAAUCCAAUCAAUCUAGAAAGAAAUCAUGAAUUUUGAAUACUUCAUGAAGAAUGAGACGAUGUUGAUAAAGAAUUACAAAUUGAAGAAAUUGCUAGGAUUGAAAAAUAGGGGACAUCAAUGUAAUUUUUUCAUCUUUUUAACAUGCCACUUUGUUAGUAUACUCUUUUGUAAUCUCAUCACAGAGUAUGUUACAAACUCUGUGAUGAUCAUAAAAAAAAAUCGGGUCCUGUCAAGUUCGUAGUGUUGCAUUCUUGUUAAUAAGUGAGGUUGUCAAGCCUCAAUAGGAUUUAGUAUGGUAAGUUUAGCCUGGUAUGUAUUAUAUGGGUAACAAUACCGGUGCUAAUGCCCCCUUAUUUGUACUUUUCCUAACUGUUAUAUCGGUAAGUUUAGUCUGGUAUGUGUUAUAUGGGUAACAAUACUGGUGCUAAUGCCCUCUUAUUUGUACUUUCGUAUCUGUUGUAUUUUCUUGUUUGCUAUUAAUAAAAACCUAACCCUAGGCUCUUGCCUAGUGGUGCUUAAAAAAAA